GAUGCCAGAUUGUUUCUGUUGAUUGAGAACGCGUGUCCUUAAGCAGCAACUUCCUAAGGAAGAGACAUCAACAUUCAUAGAACACUGACUCAGCACUGCCCCGCACCUAGCAGGGUGAUGCAGCCGAACAGAAUUACCUGAAUGAUGUGGACUAAUCCAAUCAGAGAACCUUAAAUCUCCUCUCCAAGGGUUACAGACAGUCUUCAUUUUCUGUGUCUGUAGAAGAAUUAAUUGAGGUCUUUAUCAAACAUUUUACAAAAGAAAUCGGGACUAUUAUUUUUCCUAUAGAAAGAUGUUGCUGUCUGGAUUUCCUUUGGUAAGAAGUGGACUGAGAGAUUGAUUUCAUCAGUUUGGUACUGAGUGCUGGCACAGGAACUGAGGUGGUCCUGCACUAUCUGUAUUAUUGAAGCAUCUAUGAACUUUACCACAAUCAAGGGCCCAUUGUGCUUCAUGAAAGACCAUCUUUGCCUUGAAGAGUCUGCACUCCAAGCAAACAAGAUGUAUAACCAUUGGAAGAAAGGAAGGGCAGAAGUUGAGGACAAGAGGGAGAGAAGACUUGAAAACUCAGUAAAAAUAAGCAGAUUGUGGAGUGGGAGUUUUUUUUGGAAAUGUGAUACUUCUUCGAGGGGGCACAAAGAAGCAGAUUGAAACAGCAUAAUUGCAACAUGUGCCUUUGGAAAAUAACAUGCAAUAACUGCAAGCCAGGGCAGAGCCACGAGAGAGCCAAGGUCAAGCUGCAUGAACAACCUGAACUGUGGCAUUUCCUGAGUUUUACAUAUCUGACUUUACUGCCUGAACUUUUUGUCUUCCUAGUUAUUUUCUAUUGCAUAUAUGAAACACAUUCAACGCUACUCGUUAGCAGUUGCUGUUUAAAAGGAAACGGAAUAAAGCCGUGUGGGCUAUACAUGCUUGUGUGGGGAAAAUAAUCACGGAGGAGGUCUUAAUAUUUCUUUAGCCUUUUGUUUUGAGGAACUGCAGAGUGAAAUAUUGCCCUCAGGACAGAAAAAAAAAAGCUGUUUUAGCGUUACAUGAAGAAAUUUCAGCCUUUAGCUGUAGGCAUUGCAUCAUAGUCCCAGUAACCCUCAAUCCCUAGAUGAUAUUUUACCACAUUUUCCCUCCACAGUCACUAUUUAUGUAUGGGCUGGGAGAGAGAGCAGUCAGUGUGGUGUGUUAUAUGUAUGUAGUGGUUUGUUUUGUGUGCACGUAGGGAACUUGAGGUUUUUUCCCUAACAAUUCAGGCAGCUUUAUUUUAAGUUCUCUGAACAUCUACAUGCAGAAAACUGCUUCAUAACAGCUGUAGAGAGAGUGGUGAAAGAAGAGGCUCUGAUAUCAA